rfam:Oryza glumipatula chromosome 5, whole genome shotgun sequence.
AAAAAAACAAACCCUGGGUUUCCGUGUCCAACGUUUGACUAUUCGUCUUAUACGAAUUUUUUUUAUAUUAGUAUUUUCAUUAUUGUUAGAUGAUAAAACAUGAUUAAUACUUUAUGCAUGACUUAUCUUUUUAAUUUUUUUUCAUAUUUUUUCAAAUAAAAUGAACAGUCAAACGUUAGAUAUGGAAACUCAGGGUUUACUUGUU